rnacentral:rRNA from 1 species
AUGAAUUAUUUAGCCUGGAACUGUCGAGGCUUGGGGUUGGACUCGAUAGUUGGCGAACUAAGGGACCUGAUACGGUCAUACAACCCAGUGGUGGUUUUUCUCUCAGAAACUAAGAAGAAGGCGAGAGCAAUGGAGAAAUUGAAGUGGAGUUUGGGUUUUAGGAGUGGUGUAGCGGUAGAUUGUCAAGGUCUGAGUGGGGGGCUGGCUCUCUGGUGGCGAGAAAGUGUGCAAGUUAACAUUAGGCCUUGGUGCCAAUAUUUCAUAGACGCUGCAAUGACUUGGGAAAACAAAACCUAUAGAUUCACUGGUUUCUAUGGGGAACCCAAGACGGAGCUGCGCAAGAAGUCAUGGGAUGCAAUCAGAUAUCUGCGAGCACAAGAUGACCUGCCCUGGAUUUGUGUGGGGGACUACAAUGAAGCUCUCUUCCAAACUGACCAACUCGGAGGCAAUCCGCGGCCAUUUGCACAGAUGGAAGAUGAGGGAGUCCUGGACUAG